CUUUCUAUGGAAGCUUGCUUCCACUGAGAAGAUAGUGGCGAACGGGUGAGGUAACACGUGGGGUAACCCUGCCCCAGUAACAGGGGGGAUAACAUCCGGAAACGGGUGCUAAUACCGCAUAGUUUUCUUGAUCGCAUGAUCGGGAAAGGAAAGACGGCCUUUGUGCUGUCGCUUAUGGAUGGACCCGCGGCGUAUUAGUUAGUUGGUGAGGUAACGGCUCACCAAGACGAUGAUACGUAGCCGACCUGAGAGGGUGAUCGGCCACAUUGGGACUGAGACACGGCCCAAACUCCUACGGGAGGCAGCAGUAGGGAAUCUUCCGCAAUGGACGAAAGUCUGACGGAGCAACGCCGCGUGAGUGAAGAAAGGUUUUCGGAUCGUAAAACUCUGUUGUCAGAGAAGAACAAGUUGGAGAGUAACUGCUCCAGCCUUGACGGUAUCUGACCAGAAAGCCACGGCUAACUACGUGCCAGCCGCCGC
rnacentral:rRNA from 1 species